UCUUAGUCUUGUUCAUGUUUCUCCAUGUCCAUUCUAGUAGGAGAUAAGCAAGAAUAACAAGCACAAGUAUCACCCACGUCCAAGCCAUAAUAGGCAUGUUUCACUCCGAUGUUGUUAUGGCUAAAAUAUCUGAGUAUUUAUCCAUGACGUUGGGGUGUCGUGACAAAUAGAGAUUUCAGGAUCCCCAAGAAGUAUAAAAGUUGAGAUCGAUAUAUAUAAUCGAAAUACCCCUUUAUAUAUAUAUAUAUAUAAAUAUUUAUAUAUGCAGAGUAUGCAAUUUGUAGGGAAGAAGACUUCUCCAAAAAUGCAAUGUAUAGUGAACGUGAAAUGCAAGGAGAUUACAUUUCUUUCUAUAUCUUUGAUUUCACGUGUUAAACGGACUUCUUGACAUAAAGUCAACAGUAUUUAAUGGCUUCCUACAAUUAUAGAGCAAAUUUCUUCCCCAUGUGCAAAAGGAACCAAGGCCUCAAAAAUAUCUUUGUAUUCUGCACCAAACAGA